CCUAAACCGGGGCGGCGGGCCGGGAGGGGCGCAGUUGUCGGGCUUCCGUCGGGGGAGCCCUCGGAGUACACGGCAAAAACGGGGGAAAGAGCCUGGAGACGGGGAGAGGAAAGCCGAGUGCCCCGCCUUCUGGCUCUCCAUCUCGGUCCGUUGGGUUGCUUUUCUCUUCCCUUCUCAGGGAGACCUGGGGUUGCCUCUGUUCUCUCACCAGAAAGGCCGCAGGCCCCGUGUUGUGAAACGGGACCCAGCGUAGUAAUGAAUUAACGCCUUCCCAGAGCAGCUUUACCGACGGCAAUAAGGAGCCCAGCUCCCCUGCGCCUUGUUUGGGGGCGUCCUGGGUGCAAACUCUACCCUGUCACCGCAAGACCCCCGCGGCACCCACGGUGGUAACCGGCUUGAUGACACGGUUUUAUGGGCAGACUUCCCUUCUCGGCCUGCCUUCCCCAGUCUCCUAGGGGUGUUCCCUGGGAUCACCGCCCGGGUAAACAGCGCGCACUUGAUUCCUUGUGUCAGGGUCUGCUUCCAAGGCGACCCAGACCGUUACCGCGAUUCCUCCCUCGGAGGUCACUGUGAGGGGCGGGUGGGGGAAUGUCUGGCACAGUGCUGGCAUCUAGAGCUCCUCUGUGAUUCACCUGUUCGACUUUGAAGCCUGCGCUAUGCUUCCUUCACCUUUGAUUUUAAGGGACAAAGAAGGAAGCCAAGCAGCCUAUCCCAAGCUUCUAAUCAGGCAACAGUGCGCAGGGAGAGGUUUGCUAUAAAUUUUACUGACAUGAAAAGGUGUAUAGCAUGCAACUUACUGACAAUAAAAUAUACCAAUUCUCUUUAUUGCAAAUGCCACGUGGCCACUUGACUAUCAUAGAAUGCUUCCUUUGAUUUUUUGUUGAACUCCCAUCUGCACAGCCAACCUACCAUUGCAAUUGAAGAAUGAGCUCACUUCCAACGGAAAUGUUAACAAAGCUGUGAGCCAUCAGGUGUCCGUCUGGACUGUCUGGUCUGGGUGCAGGCACAAGACCUGGGAGCCCCUCACAGGCAGCUGCGCAGAAGGGUCAGCAACAAUGGCAGCUUCUCCAAACCUUGUAUCCGUCCAGCAUGCGGCGGUUUGGGCACCUGCCUGAUGUCUCCGGGCUCCUGAAGUACCCAGGCUGGAAACACCUUUCUCAGACCCCUGAUCUCCUCUGGCCAUUCGACCUGCCCUCUCCAAGGGCAGUGCCAGUGAGCACUUCCCGCGGCCCCACAGGGCGACAAGCUACAGUCCAUCAGCGGCUGGCAACCUCUGUCAACUUAAAAAAAGUCGAUGUGGAUUAUUCAUGGCUUGACAAGUGGAGAGGUAAUUCCUGAUGCAGCCAGAGAAGUGGAACCGUGCCGACUUGAGGGAAAGGCCGAGACUGGGUGGACACGAAGGAUUCAGCGGGAUUUGGAGGCUAUGCUCCACUGCUUCUGGAUGGAAUCACCAUCAUUCACCCACAGCCCCAUCAAGGCCUCUGCUAGCCCUUCAGAACCUUCCAGAACUUUCCAGAACCUUCAGGUGCCGUGGAGAAAAAAGCCCCUUUCUCCAGGUCAACGAAGCCUGCACUCAACAUGGCAUAAAAAGUGCAGAGGGGGCUGGGUUUCGACCUCACGUUGGCCCCUUCUGGGCAGCCCUGUUGGAGAGCACCCGGCCACGCCUCCCCCAUGACCGCCUUAGCAGCCUCACUCCCCCUCACGCCCCACCAAAGCCUCGCUCAGCGGACGGUUCCCUGCACUGCUGCUGUCCUUGAUGCCCUCCCAGGGCACCACUGUCUGCAGCUCUGCUGUGUGCUGACAACCUGUCAGCCUGACCUUCCCUGCCUCACCUGUAUGCUGUCUACAGCCAGACGGGCGGGCCCUGCCUCCACCCGGCACAGGGGUGGUUUUAGAUCACGUGCAAAGGGACUCACAGGUUCCUCUUUGGAUGUUCCUACAGCCCCGUGCGAGAGGCAGGGCAGGAUCGUUACGGCAGUUUCACAGAUGGGAACAUGGAGACUCAGAGAUGCACAGUGGCUUUACUUAAACUACGGGGCUGCGCAGGAGCAGGGCUGGGCUGGCCACCCGGCGUUCUGACUCUGAGUCCAGGCGCCCUUCUUGCAUCCCCCCGGGCCACCUGGGCUGAACUGUGUCUCCCACCCCCACACCACCACCCUUCAAAUUCAUGUGCUGAGGACCUAACCCCAGGACUUCAGACUGUGACAAUAUUUUGAGACAGAGGACCUCUAAGGAGGUAACUAGUUAAAAUGAGGUCAUUCGGGUGGCCCUAAUCCAACCCGGCUGCCAUCCUUAUAAGAAGAAGAGAUUAGGACACAGACUCAGAGGGAGGACAUGGGAGGACACAGGGGAAGGCAAACCAAGGAGGGAGGCCGCAGAAGAAGUUAACCCUGCGACACCUUGAUUUGGACUUCCAGCCUCCAGCUGCGAGGAAAUGAAUUUCUGCUGUUUAAACCCUCUAGUCCGUGUACACUGUUACUACAGCCAGAGCCCACUACAGGGUGCGGUUGGGUGGGAGCAAUAGGCCCCAACCCCACGGUUAUUCAGUGAGGCGUGUGAGACAGAGCUGGAGGCUCCGUAAGGCAAUUGGAUUUUUAGGAUCUUCUGUCCCAUCAGCUUGUGUUGUCGUCAUGACUUACGCUGUAACAUCAGCUUGUAUUGUCGUCAUAAUGUGACAUCAGCUUCAUGUGGUUUCAGCAGCACUAGAAAUCCUUGCAUCCAGCAACACGGCUUUGGGAAGAACUUCUUUGUAUAUUUCAUAUGUAGAUUAUAAGCGCAAACAUGUACGUGGACACGCUUUGUAAUUAGUUUUAUGUUCAAGUUUA